rnacentral:misc_RNA from 1 species
AACUCUCAACUCCCAACUUUCUUAAUAGUCGGUUGGGAGCUUGGACUUGAGCGCUGCUGGUCUUUAUUGACCGGCUCGCUUGAAAUGAAUUAGCAGAUCCUUUUUGUAAUCGGUUCCACUCGACGUGAUAAGUAUUUCGCCGAGGACAUCUUAACGGAUGGCCGAGAUAAAGAAAGUCUUUAGAUCCGCUUCUAAUUCUUAGCUAGAGCUUGCUCUACUAAACCCCUUUUAUG